AACGAACGCUGGCGGCAUGCCUAACACAUGCAAGUCGAACGAGAUAUUCGGGUCUCGUGGCUCACGGGUGCGUAACGCGUGGGAAUCUGCCUAUUGGUUCGGAAUAACAGUUGGAAACGACUGCUAAUACCGGAUGAUGACGCAAGUCCAAAGAUUUAUCGCCAGAGGAUGAGCCCGCGUAGGAUUAGCUAUUUGGUGUGGUAAAGGCGCACCAAGGCGACGAUCGUUAGCUGGACUGAGAGGAUGAUCAGCCACACUGGGACUGAGAGACGGCCCAAACUCCUACGGGAUGCAGCAAUUGUGAAGAUUGGACAAGGGGCGUAAGCAUGAUCCAGCAAUGCCGCGUGAGUGAUGAAGGCCUUAGGGUUGUAAAGCUCUUUUACCCGGGAUGAUAAUGACAGUACCGGGAGAAUAAGCUCCGGCUAACUCCGAGCCAGCAGCCGCAUUAA
rnacentral:rRNA from 1 species